rnacentral:rRNA from 1 species
AGCGAACGCUGGCGGCAUGCUUUACACAUGCAAGUCGAACGGCAGCACGGACUUCGGUCUGGUGGCGAGUGGCGAACGGGUGAGUAAUACAUCGGAACGUGCCCAGUUGUGGGGGAUAACUACUCGAAAGAGUAGCUAAUACCGCAUGAGAACUGAGGUUGAAAGCAGGGGAUCGUAAGACCUUGCGCAACUGGAGCGGCCGAUGGCAGAUUAGGUAGUUGGUGGGAUAAAAGCUUACCAAGCCGACGAUCUGUAGCUGGUCUGAGAGGACGACCAGCCACACUGGGACUGAGACACGGCCCAGACUCCUACGGGAGGCAGCAGUGGGGAAUUUUGGACAAUGGGCGAAAGCCUGAUCCAGCAAUGCCGCGUGCAGGAUGAAGGCCUUCGGGUUGUAAACUGCUUUUGUACGGAACGAAAAGCUUCGGGCUAAUACCCUGGAGUCAUGACGGUACCGUAAGGAUAAGCACCGGCUAACUACGUGCCAGCCGCCGCCGUAACAC